AUGCUCACUUCGGCAGCACAUAUACCAAAAUUUGAACAAUACAGAAAACAGUAGUGUGGCCCCUGUGCAAGGAUGACAUGAAAAUUCAUGCAUUUUCAUAUUUUUUA